rnacentral:lncRNA from 1 species
CAGGAUGCAUGAAAUAAUAUUUGAGAAAACUUCCUUUUUGGUCAUUUUUCCCGCUGUAGAACUAUUUCAACACUUGCGUAUUUCAUUUCUUUUUGGGUUGCACCUGCUUUUUGCACAACUAUUUUGAAUAAGACCUGUUUUCAACAAAGAACAAUUUGAUAGUUGAAACGGUGGUUGGUUUUGUGUCCUUGAUCAUCUCCAUCGCUUGAUCCCGACCUCAUUUCUAUUAAGAACUUUGCUGCUUGUUGGCUUUGAGGGUGACUUUCUUUCACAGUGACCGGGUUCAGCCUUAGGAUUUCAUGAUGACUCGACCGUGUGGGCUUUGUCCUUUUACUUUAUUCUGCUUUCCAAACCUUUUCCUUUGUCUUUAUUUCUUUUCUAUUGUCUUUCACUUUGGAGGCAAUCGACCAUCAUGAUCAGUCGGGAUUGGACUGACGUACCACUGAGGCUGGGUACUUCCUUUGAUUCUUGCCGGCGGAGCCCUGUGAAACCGGUCCUGCCACUUUUUUCUGUAAUUGUUACGGAAUCAGAGUUAAAUCGAAAGCUAUUCAAAGAAAUGUAUGCAAAAGGCAAGCAUAUGAGUUUAAAGAGAAGCGUCCCUUUCGGGGGAAAAGAAGGACUUAUCUGGGGUGCAUACUGGCUCCAAAUGAACAUGACAUGCUUCUUGGACUGGACGCCCGACCUGCACCAACUUCCAACUUCUCAUGAACCUAUAUUUCCAUAUUAGGGAACCAUGUCAGGACUUUUGGUGAUGAAGUAUUCUUUUUUUGGCCGACAGCGCAAUUGCAGUUUUUCGCCCGUUCGACCUCUCUCAUUUCUCUUCUCACUGUCGCCCAAUAGAGCUCUUUGUGAGUUUUCACUAAGCAGACUCUCUCAUUUUUUUUCUCUACUUACCGUCACCUUAUGGUGCCCGAGCGUUUUUACCGAUAAGACUAUCUCAUUUUAUUUCUCUCAAUUUGAAUUGUAUCAGAUUCCAAAAAUGACAUUUCCCACUUUCCUGUCUUUGCCAAUUGAUCAGAAGGACUUGGACAAGGUCUUUAGGUAAAAGGAUUUUGGGCGGAACUACAACUUUGGAACCACUUCAACGGUCUCUUGGCCGAACCAUUAUAUCAUCUGCCCUAGUUUUGAUUUUGGAGGAAACUUAGAUUUUUAUUUGGUGUGACUGAACCUCAGGGAGAGGCCGCCGACGUAUCCUUUCGUAAUCAAGUCAAACGUAGUUCAGGCAAAUAGUUUUUGUUUUUUGUUUUUGUUUUUUUUUUCUUUUCUUUUUUCCUUUUCUAUUUCUUUUUUCUUUUCUUUUCUUUUUUUCUUUUCUAUUCUUUUUCUUCUUCUUUUUCUUUAUCUUUUCUUUUCUUUUCUCUUCUUUUCUUUUCCUUUCCUUCUUUUUUUUAUAGCACUUCCGGGUUCUAAAGAGAGUAAUCAAAGAAAGGUAACCGGAUCAAAGGGUUUGCGAGGGAUUGAUGGUGUUUGGAUAGCGGGAAUGAAAGCCUUCGUCAUAUCAACUGCGCAAACACAUCACCGGAGCAAGUUUAUACAUAAUAACUUUUUAUUGCAUCAGAGUCAUUUUCUGCGAUGUCACCCAGAUACAGUGCUCCUCCUGGCAACAUUUCCAAUGUUGUAUGGACUUUUUUGAUUAGGAUCGAACUUUCCUUCUGGUUCCAGAUGAUGAGGAAGAAUGCGCCUUAACACCAGUUACUCUACUUCAAAAUUUAUAGGAGCGGGCAAUUCUCUGUUGGUACAACUGCCCGUGACCAACUGCAGCCAUCCAUUUUUCCUUAGUUAAGUACAAACAUUCCCUACGAGUCUAGAUCUACUCAUUGUCCUCAAACUCUACUUCAAGGUGGACCUUUCCCAAACCAGAACCAAUUUUCUUUGGUUGUUCCGAUUAUUUUCUUUUAUUUUCUCAAACUUAACUUCUUCGUAUUUCUUUUGAUUCAUUAUUUCAAAGUCUGACAGAGUUCUUGGGAUCCGGGCAUGAAGUCCACAAGCAUGUCAUGCUAUUUAAAGCUGCAUUAUUAGAAUUAAAGUGAAAUAAAAGAGAAAACAUAGCAAAACUCUGGGGAAAAAUAAAGAAAAUGAACUAUGAAAUAUUGAUUUUAUUUUUUAGAAUUGGUAACAGGGUUGACAUUCAGGAAUUUAAAUAUAGGAAACUAAAGAAAAAAUUCGUCACGCCCUAGAAUGACUCGCGAUGCAGAAAAAGUGGCAGGACAAGUCUACUAGGACUCCCGCCUGACCAGGAAUGACGUAGCCUUCAAGUUUUGAAGCAUGGAGCUUGGUCCCAUGUAUAACACCUCAGCAAUGCUAGUACCUUCUCCUAGCUGGACCAUGUGAGUUUUGCAUGUAUCCUUCCAGUUUUGAAGCUUGGCGCUUGGUCCCAUGUAUAACACCUCAGUAGUGCUAGUGCCUUCUCCUGGCUGGACCAUGUGGGUUUUGCAGAGCAUUUUCCUCAUUGCCUCACGUAUUCCCUCAUUCUCUUCAGCCUUAAAAACCUCAUCAUCUUCCUCUUUGUUGUACUUUGGCUUCUGUGGUAUGCGUCCAAUAACCACUAGCUCAUUCAGCCGAGGUGGUUUGAUUGUCCCCCAUACCACAUAGGCUUGCUUGGGUACAUCAAUUUCCUUUUCCGAUUUUGUCUCGGUGAUAUUACUCUUAUUUUCCCCUUUCUCUUGUUUCGGGGCUACCCCGGGCUUCUUUUCUUCAUCAGCAAUAGCAGUUAUGGCCUUGAGCGUCUGAUCAAAUUCUUUUUCCUCCCAAAUCAUCCCAAUUAACGGCCCGUUGUUGUGAGCGAGCAGCAGAUUAUUGGUCACAUUUGGGACAUCCUCAUCCUUCAACACGAUUCUCCCUUGCUCAAUUAAAUUCUCCACCGCUUGUUUUAGAGUCCAACAGUAAUUUGUAUCGUGCCCUUCUACCCCCUGAAUGAUAGGCACAUCUGACACCCCGCUGAUAUGAUGUUGAUUCCGGGUUUUGCCCGUUUGGAGGUAUGGGUUGCAGGAAAUUCAUCUGGACAAGCUUAGGGAAUAGGGUUCACCGAUCGGUUUAUAGUUAGGUCUCCUGGGUGGUUCCCGGGGACGGAAGUUAUUCUGGUUAAGUCGAGGAUUAUAGUGGUUCUGGUGAGGAGGCUGGUUUCUAUUGGAGUGGAGGUUGAUCUCUGUUAGCCCAUGGUUGCGGUUGGGAGAAAGGUUGAGCGUUCAUGACCGCAUAAGGUGGUGGAGCAUAGACCAUAUUGGAAUGAGUAUAGUAGUGUUGAGGGGUUCUUUUGGAAAACACAGUUCUAGGAGCCAGGUAUCUUCUUUCCCCUGCUGCCUCCAUGGUUUUUUCUUCUGUUGUUCUAUUAUUUUCCAUUCCUUCAUACCCACCUUGAAUGACUUGGAAGGUUGCUCUGAUACCUGACUGACUCAAGAUUCUACCCGUUUUCAAACUUUGUUCUACCAUGUCACCAACUUUGAUGGCCUCUGCAAAAGGCUUGCCCAUGGCCGACAUCAUGUUUUAGAAGUAAUCUGGUUCUUGAGCCUGGAGGAAGACAGUGACCGUUUCUAUUUCAUCCAUGGGAGGCUUCACCCUUGAUGCUUGGUCGCGCCAUAUAAUAGCAUAUUCUCUGAAGCUUUCUGAGGGUUUCUUCUUCAAGUUUGACAAAGAAUUCUGGUCUGGUGCGAUGUCAAUGUUGUAUUGAAAUUGUCGAACAAAAUCUCUAGCAAGAUCCUCGCAAAUGUGCCAUCGAGAUGUGUCCUGAUCCAUAUACCACUCUGAAGCUAUGCCCACCAAGCUUUCUCCAAAGUAAGCCAUUAACAACUCUUCUUUUCCGCCAGCUCCACGCAUUUGGUUGCAAUACUUUUUAAGCUAAGCAAUGGGAUUGUCAUGCCCAUUAUAUUUCUCAAACUUUGGUGUUUUGAAUCCCAUGGGCAGGUGCACGUGAUGGAACAUGCACAGAUCAUACUUUUUAAGGUGAGCAAUGGGAUCGCCAUGCCUAUCAUAUUUCUCAAACUUUGGUGUUUUGAAUCCCAUAGGCAGGUGCACGUGAGGGAACAUGCACAGAUCAGUAUAGGCAACACUCUUCUGGCCGCUUAAGCCUUGCAUACUUUUAAAGCUCUGCUCGAGGCUCCUCAUUUUUCUCACCAUUUCAUCUUGGAGCUUUGGGAGUUUUAUCAUGCCCCGGUGUAAUCUCAUAUGAUGGUGCAUGAGGGUAAGCACAUGCGGGGUAUGGUGGAUCUGCCUGAAAGACAGGAUUCUAGAAAGUGAACACCGAAGGGUCAGAAUCAGGCUUUGGCAAUGAAGGUUGUAUUGUGGCAGAGCAUAGUGGAGUCGUAAAGAUGUUGGGAGCCGUCCUGGGCAUGAAUACUUGGGGGCGAACCUCAGAAGUGCCUCCCACAUGGUGAGCAGAUAUAGUAGGUUGUCCCAUUAUGAUGUUUGGGUGACUGAUUGGAACAUUCGAGGUACCCGUUGGCCUUGGGAGCAACUCGGGAAAUCCAGGGAUGGUGUUCGGGGGUUCUUUUCCAUUUGUCCUUGCGACCCACAUCUCCAUCACCCUCAGACUCAUGAUUCUAUUCUCUACAGCUGCAGAGGAUUCAAAGGCCGGGAUACCUGUCAUUUGAAAUAGAGAUUGUUGGUAGGGUCAUUUCUGACGACAUCUUUGUACUACCUUUAGACCUGGUGAAAUAGUGGUGCGAAGCCAGUUUACCACAAAACCAACCACCUGUUUCUUAUAACCUGGACUCAGGAAUUACAGCAGCAAACGGUUAGUCUUGUGACAAAUACAGAUAGGCAAUCACACACCAACGGCUGCAUGCAUCAUCCCGUCUUUUCUUUUGUUUGCCUUGCUUGUUUUUCUCUUCUUUUUUUUUUUUGUUUUUUUAUGUUUUUCUCAUUUUUCUGCUUUUCCAUUUCUUUUGCCAUGGUUUUCCUUUGAUUUCUCUUCUGCUCUUGUGCUUCUUUUAUUUUUUCCUUUAUUUUGUUCCGUCUCUUUUUGUUUUUCUCUUAUGGUUACGAUCGAAUCCGAUGAGGAUUGCCUACGUAUCGCAACCCCGCACGAAUCAGACCAAGCGUAGUUCGUGCAAAUAAAGUAAAUAAGCUAACUCUUUUUUGUUGAAAUUUUGAAAGAAAUGCUUUAAGGAAAAUAUUUUUGAUUUUGAUUUCUAAUUUUUAUUUUUGUUUUUUGAAAGUAAGACUUCAAAUUUUCCUUUUCCAAAUUUGUGUAUUUUCUAUUAUUUUCUAUCUAAAAAGGACAUCUAAUGAGUAUCUAAAAGGAAAAGUGACUAUUCUUCCAAAAAAAAUUUGUAUAGAAAAACAGGGACUUGGUUUUGCCGAUACGGUCUUUCAGCACUUCUAGAGGAAGAUUUUAAGGUUGUGCUCGCAAAGCAUUUAAAAAUGACUUAGGGUGGCUGUUCUUGCAAAACAGCCUUCCGAUGCUCUUUUGGGGACAUUCGUCUUAUUCUUUUUUGACAAGAAUGGCAUCACCCGACUUAUUCAUAACAAAAUUAAAAUAUUUUGAUAUUUUUGGCUAUUUUUGCAAAUGGAAGGUUGGACCCGAUGAGGGGUGCCUACGUAUCCUACACCCUGUGAGAAUCAAACUGGCGUAGUUCGGUCAGAUUUGGAAUAGAGCAAAUAAACUAACUCUUAUUUUGUUGGAAUUUUUGAAAGAAAUGAAUUAAAAAAAUAUAUAUAUAUAUAUUUUUUAAAUUUUUAUUUUGAUUUUUGUUUGCUUUUUUUUUUCUUUGAAAGAAAGACUUCUAAAAAUUUAUUUGCUUUUGACUUGAACUUGGAAAUUUCAAAAGUAAAAGGAAAAUAUUUUAUUUUUUUGAAUUUUCAUUUGUCUUACCUUUUUCUAAGGAAAAAAAAUAUUUUUGGAUUUUAAAUAUUGCCUCUAAAUUUUCGAAAGAGGGACUUUUAAGAAAAUAUUUUUGGAUUUUUGAGUUUUUAUUUAUUUACAAAAGUACUUCUAAAGAAAAGCGAAAAUAUUUUUUGACUUCAAUUUUUCAACAAUUCUUUUUGACAUUUACGAAGAAAGACUUUUAAACAAGGAAAAAAAAAUUUCUUUUUAUUUCUUUUUUUUCGAAUUUUCUAAAGAAGGAACAAAGGAAAAUUAUUAUUUUUUUGGAUUUUUUUUUUAAAAUUGGGGUCUUAAAGAAAGACUUUUCUAAAGAAUGAAGUAAUGAAAACAUUUUUUGGGUUUUUGAAAACUAGGGUCGGAUCCGAUGAGGUUUGCCUAUAUAUCUCACAUCCGGUGAGAAUCAGACCGGCGUAGUUCGACCAACAACCAUUUUUGGUCUUUGGUAAACAAACUUUAAAAAAAUGUUUUUUCUUUCUUCCAAUUUUUAAAAUUUCGGCAGAGUUCAGAUAUCAUUUGGGCAUUGGGUUUCUCUUUUUCUCAUUUGUCUAACAUCCCCAAGAUUCAAAAAGUGGUCAACAUGCAAGCCCGAGCAAAUAAAUGCACAGAAAACAAGUAGGAUGCAUCAGGGUGAUCUUUUCAUUUCAGGUUGCUAGCCCUAGACGGACCCAAUCCCUAUGUUGAGUCCCUAAGUCAAUAUGCACAUGAUGCAAAUAAGCAUUCCUACUAAGGAUCCGGCAUGAGACUGAGUUAUUCAACAUUCAAAACCUGGGUGUUUGUUCUAGACCUGGCUUACCCGAGCAGACAACUCGAGCAGGGGGGGGCGAAAAUCCGGGAAUACAGAAGUUUCGCCGGCUUUGCGACUUAUCCAAACCUCGUUCUAAAUUGGGAUUUGACACUAGACAGUAAAGAAGUCGUACACCGUACACCCUUCUUCCAAUUCAGAAGACUCAGAGAGGAGACUUGAUUCGGCACAGCUUAUAUACAGUUCACGUAAUAUCAAAGCGGUAAAAGCAAUCAAUUAGCACAUUAAGCACAUAUCAUGUAACAGAAUCAGAUAAAGCUAAACACAACAAUAAUUCUAAGCUCGAUUUCUGAACCCUGAACAAAACAUUUUGGGUUCUUAUUCCCCAGCAGAGUCGCCAGAGCUGUCACACCUCCUUUUUAUACACCUACUUCGAAGGAUAAAUGUAUAAGGGAAUUUUUCCAUUUACAGUGACAUUAUUCGGAUCGGGAUUAUUUAUUCAGAGUCGCCACUUGGGAUACGUUUGGCUUUUGAUUUCCCAAGUCACCAGUUUAUCUUGAAUCCCGAACCGAGGAAAACUUUGACUUCCGAAUGGAGUCUCCGAACCAAAAAUUAUGAAUAAGGAAUUAUGUAGACCCGAGGGAAGGUGUUAGGCACCCUCGGAUCCCGUGGUUCUAGCACGGUCGCUUAAAUUGUUAUGAAUGGCUAAAAUUUGAUUUUAAUACAUGAAAUACCUAUGUGCCAAUUUUACCUGUUUACCGCUUUAAUUUAACAUAAUAUUAAUUUGAGAAAGUGAACGUCGUUUAAAGUGUGUUUUCGGAUUGCGCCGCAUCAAAUGAACUCGCAAUCCUAGGCACGUUGUAUUAAACAUUUUAGGAUUUCGAUUUGGACCGCAUAAAAUGCUCACCCAUAUUUAGGAAUGUAAUUUUAUUAAAAUCGCGCCUACUAGAGUCUAACGCGUUGUAAUAUUUUUGGAGGGCCGUGAAAUUCACUAAACGGCCCUUCCCGAUUUUCUAAAUAUUUUUAACCUUUAUUGAGGACCCCGUAAUUUUAUAUUUUAUUGGGCGAGGCUCGUCUCGUUUAUUUUAAAAAGGGACAUCUUCAAGGUCUUUAUAAUUCCUCUAUUGAAGGUUAUCUAUACUCACUAAUUCGCGUGAAUUUCUUUGCGUUCCAGGUAAGUGAUCAGACUCAUGCUAGACUUACAUUUAAAUGUAUCCAUUGAUUCUUAAAAUAACGAUUUAUAUCACAAAAAUAACCAGGCGAGUUUAGCACACUGUCGUAAUAACUUUAUUCACAUGAGAAGCAAAGUAGUAGAAAUAUCCUGGAAUGAAUCAACACAAAACAAUAAGAUUGAAUAGUCUCCUCCUAGACAACCUAGCUCUAUAUCAUGCAAACAAAUGAUGGAGGAUACAUGUAUACUUCAACAGAAUGUCUGAAGCACACCAUAUGCCUUGAACUAAUUCAGGUUAUUAGUGAUGCCCAAGUGAUUCCCAAUUCUAUGGAUGAACUACUACAGUUAUUUGGACCUUAACACGAACUAUCAGACUCCGUACUUGCCUACUGGUUUCAGCUCAAUGUUAUUGAUACAAUUGAAACUCAUGAAUUUCUAUACCAUUUCCUAAUUUCAGCUCGAACCAAUACUAUAAAAGUUCUAUCAGUUCAAUUAUACAACACAAAUACAAACCAAAAUGAGUUUAAACAAAUACAAAUUAUCUACUACUACUCCACCAGCAACUCAAGCACAUAAAUUCCAAAGAAGACCAUUUCAUUUCAGCUUUCAAUUUAAACAGCUACACUAGGCCAGUUUUAGGCGUGUACCUGAAUUUAAUGGAACAGGAAUAACAGGAAGAGGACAGCAGCAAGCAACAACUCUCAGCAACAACAGAAUUCGACCAUAACCAGCCCAGAAAUAGUGUCUAGGACGCCCAGUAGACAACCAAACACCAAAAGAAAUAGGAAAGACCAACCAAACUAGUUUGAUUCACACCGAAUAUACUUGAAAAUGCACCAGAUCAAUUCAAUAAACCAAAACUCCAACUGAAACUUUAGCUAUUAGAAGAUUUAGGAAAAUAAAAAUUUCAACAUCAAAAUUGAGAGCUGAUCGAGUAACUUCAGAUCUGUGUAACCUUAGAGAAGUGUUUUGAAAUCUCAGGUCUGGAAAUCUAGAGAGAACUUUUCUGGGGGGGAGGGGGGGGGGAUUUUGGGCUCUCCAACUUGUAUAUUGAGGCACUAAUGAUGCCUUUUUAUAGGCCAAAGGAGGGGCAACCCUCACAUUUCUGUUUUCCCUAUUAGUCCCUCUUUAUUUUCAUAUUAGUCCUUCAGUUUUUAACUUGUUACCCAAGUUACUUCAUUAAAAUGCAGAAAACUUACAGUAAGGCCCCCUUCUAGAAGGCCCUAUGGUAUUCUUUUAGCUAUGAAAAGCCUAAACUACCCUUGCUUGAGUCCUAAAAUUACUAUGCCUUAACAACCAGCCCUUUUCCAUGCCCAAAUUACUCUUGGUUAACUUCACCAAACCCCUUACCCCAGUUAAGAAUUAACCAAAGUUAACUAAAUUCAGUUAUAUCCAAUCAACCUAACUUAACAAUGAACUAAUCAAUACUAAGUAAUACUAACAAUGAAUCAACGGCUAAUAAACAACUGAAAAUUGAAACUAAACAAGAUUAUGAACUGAAAUCAACUGCAUCCGAAACAAUAUCAAGCAAAACAAAUAGACGGAAGAAUCCAAUUUAAUUAUCUAAAUCAACUAAAUAGAAACAAUCUAUUGGAAACUCAAUCGAAUUGAAGUAAAUGAAAAUGUAAUGGAAAUAUAAUCUAAUAUCAAGAUAGAAACAACUACAGCAAUAACUUGGCAACAAGAGCAGAAGUAAAAGAACAAAAACAAUAAGGAAACCAAAAUAAGGAAUGAAAUACCUCUUGUUUCGCUCACUAGACUCGAAUUUGCCCAUAUUUAUGGAAUCAUUUGGAACAAAACCGUUUUUAAUCAUGUGUUUUCGAUUAGAAAACACACGAUUUAAGGCAGUCGUGGUGCCAAAUAAAAGAAAUCCGAAUUUGAGAAGCUAGGGUUCUGGCUGAAUUUUAAUCCAAAAUUUGGGAGUUAUAGGCUAUAGAUUUAUGAAGAAAGGGAUGAGGAAGAUAAAUAGUGCGAGUUUUGACCGGUUUGGAGAAAGUAUGUUUUUAGGCCGAAAUUUAGAUUUAAUAUUUGAGAACCUUGACUAGGAAUUGAUAGAGAUGGUUUUGAGGAUUGGAAAGAGGAGAAGGAGAGAAUUCGUGGGUGUGAUUUUGGGUGGAUUUGGAGCAUCGCUGCCGGCGGUGGCGAUUCCCGGCAAGCGGCGGACGGUGGUGGCGGCGACUAGAGACAGAGGAGUGUACGAGGAAGAUACAAAUGGUCCCUAGGGUUUUAGGACAUUAUUAUCUAAUCCUUUAUAUUAAUCUCUAGCCGUUGGACUAGGAGUGGAUGGAGGACUCAGAUUGAUUGGCUUCACUAAAGCAAAACGACGUAGUAUCCCUCCUAUACUAUGUCUUUUUGUCGGUCCCAGAGAUAUGGUCAAUUGGACCGGGUAGAGGUUCACUUGAGCCAUUUCGGCCUGAUUUUUUCUUUUUUGGGUUUCAAGGGUGUUGGGGUGGGAUUUUCAUGAAAAUGGCCCAAACAUGACCAAC